CCAAGUUUUUAAGGGCGCACGGUGGAUGCCUUGGCACCAGGAACCGAUGAAGGACGUGGGAGGCCACGAUAGUCCCCGGGGAGUCGUCAACCAGGCUUUGAUCCGGGGGUUUCCGAAUGGGGAAACCCGGCAGUCGUCAUGGGCUGUCACCCUUGCCUGAACACAUAGGGCAAGUGGAGGGAACGCGGGGAAGUGAAACAUCUCAGUACCCGCAGGAAGAGAAAACAACCGUGAUUCCGGGAGUAGUGGCGAGCGAAACCGGAUGAGGCCAAACCGUAUGCGUGUGAGACCCGGCAGGGGUUGCGUAUACGGGGUUGUGGGAUCUCUCUUUUACAGUCUGCCGGCUGUGAGACGAGUCAGAAACCGUUGAUGUAGGCGAAGGACAUGCGAAAGGUCCGGCGUAGAGGGUAAGACCCCCGUAGCUGAAACAUUGACGGCUCGUUUGAGAGACACCCAAGUAGCACGGGGCCCGAGAAAUCCCGUGUGAAUCUGGCGGGACCACCCGCUAAGCCUAAAUAUUCCCUGGUGACCGAUAGCGGAUAGUACCGUGAGGGAAUGGUGAAAAGUACCGCGGGAGCGGAGUGAAAUAGUACCUGAAACCGUGUGCCUACAAGCCGUGGGAGCGUCGCGCAUCGAGUUUACUCGGUGCGUCGUGACUGCGUGCCUUUUGAAGAAUGAGCCUGCGAGUUUGCGGUGUGUUGCGAGGUUAACCCGAGUGGGGUAGCCGUAGCGAAAGCGAGUCCGAACAGGGCGAUUUUAGUAGCACGCUCAAGACCCGAAGCGGAGUGAUCUAGCCAUGGGCAGGUUGAAGCGGAGGUAAGACUUCGUGGAGGACCGAACCCACCAGGGUUGAAAACCUGGGGGAUGACCUGUGGUUAGGGGUGAAAGGCCAAUCAAACUCCGUGAUAGCUGGUUCUCCCCGAAAUGCAUUUAGGUGCAGCGUCGUGUGUUUCUUGCCGGAGGUAGAGCACUGGAUAGGCGAUGGGCCCUACCGGGUUACUGACCUUAGCCAAACUCCGAAUGCCGGUAAGUGAGAGCACGGCAGUGAGACUGUGGGGGAUAAGCUCCAUGGUCGAGAGGGAAACAGCCCAGAGCAUCGACUAAGGCCCCUAAGCGUACGCUAAGUGGGAAAGGAUGUGGAGUCGCACAGACAACCAGGAGGUUGGCUUAGAAGCAGCCACCCUUGAAAGAGUGCGUAAUAGCUCACUGGUCUAGUGAUUCCGCGCCGACAAUGUAGCGGGGCUCAAGCGUACCGCCGAAGUCGUGUCAUUCCAGCAUAUAGGGCCAACGCCUGCUGGGAUGGGUAGGGGAGCGUCGUGUGCCGGGUGAAGCAGCCGCGGAAGCGAGUUGUGGACGGUUCACGAGUGAGAAUGCAGGCAUGAGUAGCGAUACACACGUGAGAAACGUGUGCGCCGAUUGACCAAGGGUUCCUGGGUCAAGCUGAUCUGCCCAGGGUAAGUCGGGACCUAAGGCGAGGCCGACAGGCGUAGUCGAUGGAUAACCGGUUGAUAUUCCGGUACCCGCUGUGAAGCGUCAAACACUGAACCAGGCGAUGCUAAGUCCGUGAAGCCGUUCCGGACCCUUCGGGGAAAGGAAAGUGGUGGAGCCGACGGACCAGACUUGUAGUAGGUGAGUGAUGGGGUGACGCAGGAAGGUAGUCCAUCCCGGGCGGUGGUUGUCCCGGGGUAAGGGUGUAGGCCGUGCGAUAGGUAAAUCCGUCGUACUUGUGGCUGAGACCUGAUGCCGAGCCGAUUGUGGUGAAGUGGAUGAUCCUAUGCUGUCGAGAAAAGCCUCUAGCGAGUUUCAUGGCGGCCCGUACCCUAAACCGACUCAGGUGGUCAGGUAGAGAAUACCGAGGCGUUCGGGUGAACUAUGGUUAAGGAACUCGGCAAAAUGCCCCCGUAACUUCGGGAGAAGGGGGGCCAUCACUGGUGAUCCGAUUUACUCGGUGAGCUGGAGGUGGCCGCAGAGACCAGCGAGAAGCGACUGUUUACUAAAAACACAGGUCCGUGCGAAGCCGUAAGGCGAUGUAUACGGACUGACGCCUGCCCGGUGCUGGAACGUUAAGGGGACCGGUUAGUCACAUUUCGGUGUGGCGAAGCUGAGAACUUAAGCGCCAGUAAACGGCGGUGGUAACUAUAACCAUCCUAAGGUAGCGAAAUUCCUUGUCGGGUAAGUUCCGACCUGCACGAAUGGCGUAACGACUUCUCGACUGUCUCAACCAUAGGCCCGGUGAAAUUGCACUACGAGUAAAGAUGCUCGUUUCGCGCAGCAGGACGGAAAGACCCCGGGACCUUUACUACAGUUUGAUAUUGGUGUUCGGUUCGGCUUGUGUAGGAUAGCUGGGAGACUUUGAAGCUCGGACGCCAGUUCGGGUGGAGUCGUCGUUGAAAUACCAGUCUGGUCGUGCUGGAUGUCUAACCUGGGUCCGUGAUCCGGAUCAGGGACAGUGUCUGAUGGGUAGUUUAACUGGGGCGGUUGCCUCCUAAAGAGUAACGGAGGCGCCCAAAGGUUCCCUCAGCCUGGUUGGCAAUCAGGUGGUGAGUGUAAGUGCACAAGGGAGCUUGACUGUGAGACCGACGGGUCGAGCAGGGACGAAAGUCGGGACUAGUGAUCCGGCGGUGGCUUGUGGAAGCGCCGUCGCUCAACGGAUAAAAGGUACCCCGGGGAUAACAGGCUGAUCUUCCCCAAGAGUCCAUAUCGACGGGAUGGUUUGGCACCUCGAUGUCGGCUCGUCGCAUCCUGGGGCUGGAGUCGGUCCCAAGGGUUGGGCUGUUCGCCCAUUAAAGCGGUACGCGAGCUGGGUUUAGAACGUCGUGAGACAGUUCGGUCCCUAUCCGCUGCGCGCGCAGGAAUAUUGAGAAGGGCUGUCCCUAGUACGAGAGGACCGGGACGGACGAACCUCUGGUGUGCCAGUUGUCCUGCCAAGGGCAUGGCUGGUUGGCUACGUUCGGGAGGGAUAACCGCUGAAAGCAUCUAAGCGGGAAGCCUGCUUCGAGAUGAGUAUUCCCACCCACUUGAUGGGGUAAGGCUCCCAGUAGACGACUGGGUUGAUAGGCCAGAUAUGGAAGCCUGGUAACGGGUGGAGUUGACUGGUACUAAUAGGCCGAGGGCUUGUCCUC
rnacentral:rRNA from 1 species